UACGUAGGGUGCGAGCGUUGUCCGGAAUUAUUGGGCGUAAAGAGCUCGUAGGCGGUUUGUUGCGUCUAUCGUGAAAACCUGCAGCUUAACUGUGGGCUUGCGGUGGAUACGGGCAGACUUGAGUUCGGUAGGGGAGACUGGAAUUCCUGGUGUAGCGGUGAAAUGCGCAGAUAUCAGGAGGAACACCAAUGGCGAAGGCAGCUCGCUGGAACGGUACUGACGCUGAGGCGCGAAAGCGUGGGGAGCAAACAGG
rnacentral:rRNA from 1 species